rnacentral:rRNA from 1 species
UAUACAAAGGUAUUGAAAUAAGAUUUUAAAUGAGUGCUAMGAGARUGAUUARACAAUUAAAAGCUUUCUUUAAUUGAAUAAUUGAAUUUAAUUUUUUAGUGCAAAAGCAAAAAUAAAAAUUAGGGACAAGAAGACCCUAUGAAUUUUUUAUUAAAUUUUAUAAAACUUUAUAUAAAAUUUAAUUUAAUUGGGGUGAUGGAAAAAGAAUAAAUAUCUUUUUWUAAAAGAAAAUUGGUUCCGUUCUUAGCGAUUAAAUGAAAAAAAUACUCUAGGGAUAACAGCGUAAUAA